rnacentral:rRNA from 1 species
GACGAACGCUGGCGGCGUGCUUAACGCAUGCAAGUCGAACGGAAAGGCCCUGCUUUUGUGGGGUGCUCGAGUGGCGAACGGGUGAGUAACACGUGAGUAACCUGCCCUUGACUUUGGGAUAACUUCAGGAAACUGGGGCUAAUACCGGAUAUGAGCUCCUGCUGCAUGGUGGGGGUUGGAAAGUUUCGGCGGUUGGGGAAGGACUUGCGGCUUAGCAGCUUGUUGGUGGGGUAGUGGCUUACCAAGGCGUUGACGGGUAGCCGGCCUGAGAGGGUGACCGGCCACAUUGGGACUGGGAUACGGCCCAGACUGCUACGGGAGGCAGCAGUGGGGAAUAUUGCACGAUGGGCGGAAGCCUGAUGCAGCAACGCCGCGUGCGGGAUGACGGCCUUCGGGUUGUAAACCGCUUUCGCCUGUGACGAAGCGUGAGUGACGGUAAUGGGUAAAGAAGCACCGGCUAACUACGUG